rnacentral:rRNA from 1 species
AUAUUCGGGAAGAACCCCCAGUGGCGAAGGGCGACCUCGCUGGGCUUCGUUCUGACCGCUUCCAGGCCCGAAAGGCGUGGGGGAGCCAAACCAGGGAUUAGAUUACCCCUGGGUUAGUCCCACCGCCGUUAAACCGAUGGGCACUAGGGUGCCUGGGAAGUUGUGACCCUUUUUCGGGUGCCCGUAGCUAACCGCGUUAAGUGCCCCCGCCUGGGGAGUACCGGCCGCAAGGGCUGAAACUCCAAAGGGAAUUGACGGGGGCCCGCACAAGGCGGUGGAGCCAUGUGGUUUAAUUCGAUGCAACGCGAAGAACCUUACCCUGGGCUUGACAUGCUAGGGAACUCCGGGUGGAAACAUCCCGGGGUCCCUUCCGGGACCCUAGCCACAGGUGCUGCAUGGCUGUCCGUCAGCUCGUGUCGUGAGAUGUUGGGUUAAGUCCCGCAACGAGCGCAACCCUUACCCGUAGUUGCCAGCGGAUCCAUGCCGGGGACUCUACGGGGACUGCCCGGUGAUAAACCGGAGGAAGGUGAGGACGACGUCCAAGUCCAUCCAUGGCCCUUACGUCCAGGGCGACACACGUGCUACCAAUGGUCG